GCCAGCGUGAUGUAGUGGUUUGAAUAUUGGACUAUGACUCUGAAGACCAGGUUCGAAUCCCUGUUCAGCCA